rnacentral:lncRNA from 7 species
AGAGCUGUGCUCCAGCACUGCAGCUUUACAUCUUUGGCUUUUGUGGGUUUUUUUCAGCUUUCUCCAACAUUUUGGAGCUGUGUGCACUCCUACAGGUGAGCUCUGCCUUACUCAGUGAAGUGACGACACAUCACAUGCAUGGAAGAAAUGGAGAAAGAGCUGCUGAAAGGCCACCUGGAGGGCACACAGCCACCAAAGGUGCUUCCUGGGGCACAGCUUGGCAAACCCUCCACUCUGAGCCGCCCUGAAGAUGCAGAGCAUUGCCAGAAGCAUGCAGCAUUUAAGCAGCAGCACAGCAAAAUUGCUCCCUGGGUGUGGGGGAUACAGAGACUACAAAGAACUGGCUGGCAGCCCCUGGUGGGAGCCAGCACUCCCGGCAGCCCCAGCACACAUCACCUGCAACUGAAGCCCAAUGUCACAGCACUUUACCAAGCAAAACACUGUGUUGAACUGCUUGCUCACGUCUCAGAUUUCCAAGGAAACAGCUGAAAAGGCUGACAGGAGACGGGUCUCGUACUGUUAUCCAGCACUGGACAAUCCUACAGCAGUGCCAAAAUAAUUUAACAUUUGGUAUCUGUUAUUUUUACAGUCGCACAAUUUGCAAAAUCUACUUGAAAUGUUUUCAUGAUGUUACAAAAUCCAAAUGAAAUCUGGGCUUAAGUUUAAUCUUACUUUCACACUGCUGCCUCCAAAAUUUUACCAUGCUGGAGAGGAACCAGAAAACGAAAAGGAACAGUGAGCUGAGCCUAUUUCCACCAAAAGAAAAUAAAAGUUUUGU